CUGGGCAGAGGGCAAACACCUAUUGGAUAUUUUGAUGGGAGCAGCUGCAGAAAUGAUGCCUGAUGCUGGGCGGCAAGGAAAAGCCACGAGAUUCGCUGGCAGCUCAUGCAGGCUGAACAUGGCUCCCCCUCUCUGCCAAAACCACCAGGCCUCCAGAGAUCCAACUCCCACACCACUGUCUCGAAAGCUGUCUAUCCCCAUUGGACCUAGGCUGUGUUUGAUGCAGACUGUCGCAGCAGUGUCUUUUAACGUGAUGUGCACG